GACGUAGGGCGCGAGCGUUGUCCGGAUUUAUUGGGCGUAAAGAGCUCGUAGGCGGUUUGUUGCGUCGGCUGUGAAAUCCCGAGGCUCAACCUCGGGUCUGCAGUCGAUACGAGCAAACUAGAGUGUUGCAGGGGAGACUGGAAUUCCUGGUGUAGCGGUGAAAUGCGCAGAUAUCAGGAGGAACACCGGUGGCGAAGGCGGCUUCCUGGACCGACACUGACGCUGAGGCGCGAAAGCUAGGGGAGCAAACGGG
rnacentral:rRNA from 1 species